rnacentral:SRP_RNA from 1 species
AGCUGGGACCUUGGCGAUGGAACGCCUUAAACCCCGCCAGGUCCGGAAGGAAGCAACGGAAUGGGGUGUCUUCCAGGUGUUCAAGACAAUCCUGGUUGCC